UUGAAUAAUAGAAGGACACCAUACAUAAAAAAAUAAAUAAAAAACAUUUGCCUUGCUUUCCUUCAGUUUUAGAGAGUGCAUAGAUAACCUCAAUUGCAGGUUUGAAUUUAAUAGGCACCACACCACUCAUCAGGUUGUCAGAUCGUGCAAGGAGAAAUUUCCAUGUGUUGGAACUGAAACUUUCACUAAUUGUUAACCACGUUGAAGUGCUAGACAAUGGGCUAUGACAGGUUUUGUUGGGGAGAUUCGAGAUGUACACCUAUAAACCACGAGUCACUUAUAAGGGAGUCGUCUGACAUUACACUCUAACUCAAAACCUUUUGUGGGUAUACUCCUCACUUAUAUGGUGUUCAAUCUUUUCACUUCUAUCCGAUGUGAGACUUUACCUCACACUUGUAACCCAACAAAGUUUUGCAUGUCCAUCCCAUAAAAUGGCCUUAAU
rnacentral:lncRNA from 1 species